AGAAUCAACGCUGGCGGCGUGCCUAACACAUGCAAGUCGCACGAGAAAGGGUAGCAAUACCUGAGUACAGUGGCGCACGGGUGAGUAACACGUGAAUAAUCUACCUCCGAGUGGGGGAAUAAACUGAGAGAAAUCUUAGCUAAUACCGCAUAAUACCCACGGGUCAAAGCAGCAAUGCGCUUGGAGAGGAGUUCGCGGCAGAUUAGUUAGUUGGCGGGGUAAUGGCCCACCAAGACGAUGAUCUGUAUCCGGCCUGAGAGGGCGCACGGACACACUGGAACUGAAACACGGUCCAGACUCCUACGGGAGGCAGCAGUGGGGAAUUUUGCGCAAUGGGGGAAACCCUGACGCAGCAACGCCGCGUGGAGGAUGAAGCCCCUUGGGGUGUAAACUCCUUUCGAUCGGGAAGAUAAUGACGGUACCGAUAUAAGAAGCCCGGCUAACUUCGCGCCAGCAGCCGC
rnacentral:rRNA from 1 species